GUACGGGGGGGGCAAGCGUUGUUCGGAAUUACUGGGCGUAAAGGGCUCGUAGGUGGCCAACUAAGUCGGACGUGAAAUCCCUCGGCUUAACCGGGGAACUGCGUCCGAUACUGGUUGGCUUGAGUUUGGGAGAGGGAUGCGGAAUUCCAGGUGUAGCGGUGAAAUGCGUAGAUAUCGGGAGGAACACCUGUGGCGAAAGCGGCGCACUGGACCACAACUGACGGCUGAGGCGCGGAAAGCCAGGGGAGCAAACGGG
rnacentral:rRNA from 1 species